AAAUUGAGUUGUCGACAUUGAUUGAACGUCUCAGUAAUUUGAAACAUCACGUCGCUUUCUAUAUCCUGAAACACUGCUUCACGAUACCGAAACUAACAUACUUACUGAGAACCAGCUGCUGUUUCAAUUUUGAAGAACAUCUUUAUGACAUGGACAACAUGAUUAAGCUCGCUUUGGAAAAAACAAUAAAUUCUUGCCUAAAUAAUGAACAGUGGACAAUUGCAACUCUUCCAAUACAAAAUGGAGGCCUUGGAAUCAGAAAAAUCAAAGAUAUCGCACUACCAGCAUUUCUAGCUUCCGUCAAUUCGGUGGCCGAACUCGUCAACAUGAUGUUUCCACAAAUUUCGGAUGAGUCGGUCAUUGCAAGUUACAUGGACAGCUUACACUUGUGGUCUGCGAUAUAUGACAACAAAUUGCCAGAAAACAAAACGAUCCAAAAAACAUGGGACAUCAUCUCCAUUGAAAAAAUCGUAAAUUCAUUAACGCUAUCAACCGAAGAACAAAAAGCACGAUACAACGCUUCAAUUGCAAAGGAAUCUAGUGCCUGGUUAACUGUAUUACCAUCACGACAAAUUGGAAGCUUACUCGACAAUAAUACUUUUCGUAUCUCUGUUGCAUUACGUUUAGGAUGUGAUAUUUGUAUACCACACAGUGGUCUUACCUCACAAAU